GCGAACGGACGAGAAGCUUGCUUCUCUGAUGUUAGCGGCGGACGGGUGAGUAACACGUGGAUAACCUACCUAUAAGACUGGGAUAACUUCGGGAAACCGGAGCUAAUACCGGAUAAUAUUUUGAACCGCAUGGUUCAAAAGUGAAAGACGGUCUUGCUGUCACUUAUAGAUGGAUCCGCGCUGCAUUAGCUAGUUGGUAAGGUAACGGCUUACCAAGGCAACGAUGCAUAGCCGACCUGAGAGGGUGAUCGGCCACACUGGAACUGAGACACGGUCCAGACUCCUACGGGAGGCAGCAGUAGGGAAUCUUCCGCAAUGGGCGAAAGCCUGACGGAGCAACGCCGCGUGAGUGAUGAAGGUCUUCGGAUCGUAAAACUCUGUUAUUAGGGAAGAACAUAUGUGUAAGUAACUGUGCACAUCUUGACGGUACCUAAUCAGAAAGCCACGGCUAACUACGUGCCAGCAGCCGCGGUAAUACGUAGGUGGCAAGCGUUAUCCGGAAUUAUUGGGCGUAAAGCGCGCGUAGGCGGUUUUUUAAGUCUGAUGUGAAAGCCCACGGCUCAACCGUGGAGGGUCAUUGGAAACUGGAAAACUUGAGUGCAGAAGAGGAAAGUGGAAUUCCAUGUGUAGCGGUGAAAUGCGCAGAGAUAUGGAGGAACACCAGUGGCGAAGGCGACUUUCUGGUCUGUAACUGACGCUGAUGUGCGAAAGCGUGGGGAUCAAACAGGAUUAGAUACCCUGGUAGUCCACGCCGUAAACGAUGAGUGCUAAGUGUUAGGGGGUUUCCGCCCCUUAGUGCUGCAGCUAACG
rnacentral:rRNA from 1 species